UAAAACUCUGACAUGUCAUCAUAAGCAUCUGCAUUAAUGUGCUUGUUACACCUAGAAUGCAUUCACUAGGUUAAACUUUUUCAAAAGUGUGAUGUUGUGUGUUGGGUUUAGAGUUUAGUCUAAGGACUUGGCUUAAGCUAAACAGGGGUAGGUCAUCUCUUAAGCAAGUAACAAGUUGACUUGGAGUCUUAAAUGUUAAAGGUAAGUCUUAGAGCCUAGAGUAGACUUGUUUUGGAAUGAUGGUCAAGUGGAAGAAGCGCUUAAGAAGCUGGAAUAACUCCAAACCUUAACUUGAGCUUUGCUUGGAAUAGAUGGUUAAGUAAAGGAAAUUCUAAACCAGAACAUUUUGGAUAUGAGCUAUGUGUAUCAAAGAUUGGAUCUUAGACUAGAGAGUAACCUUGUUUCUGAUGGAUGGAUCAAAGGGAUGAAUCCCUGGAAGAAGCUGAAAUACAAAUGAAACUCAUUUGAAAUCCUAAAACUAGCCCAAAAGAAGAAUUCAAAAAUCUGGAAAUAAUUUGACAAAAGUCCAUAUAUCAAAGUUGUGGAGCUUGGAAAAGUGGAUAUGUUUCUUAUUUGGAGAUUCCUAAGUUGUGUGGAAGAAUUUGGAGUUAAGUACAAAAAUUCAGUUUUGGGUUCAUUUUAGAAUUGCUGAAAAUAAUAUAAACUAGACAACUUUGGACUCUUGUAACUUCUGAUCUAGAACCAUUUUGAAGAUGAUCAUUAUAACAAAGUUAUAGAGCUACAUGAGGAGUUUAAGUUUGGUUAAGUCAUAUAGCUCUAAAACUAUAUGGAACUUUGAGUAAAACUGGUCCAAAGUAAAGCUGUCAAAAAUUGUGGAUUUCAGACUUAGUGAAAUUCAGAUUCUGAAUUUCAGCAAUUGGAGCAAACUUUGGGCUAUUGUAGUUUGGAAUUUAAGAGGUUUUGGUUAAUGGUCACUAUAUCAAACUUGUAGAGGAACUAGAGGAGUAUAAACUUUAUUAAGAAACUUGACCCUAAAAACAUUUGGAACCCAGAAAAAAGAGUGGUUCCAAGUGGUGCUGCUUUACUUCUGAAUUUUCAGAUUGGAAACAGUAACUGAAACUGAGUUUCAGUGUUUUGAUAGCAGUUUUGAAGCCUAUUUGUGGCUACUCUAUAAGGUUUUUUUGUUAUGGUGUUUGUAAAAUAAGUGAAGACCAUAUAAUGUGGAACAACUUUCUUAUAGGGUGGUGGACCUGAUCCCAUACAAAAAGUGCAGAAAUAGUUGCUCAAAGAUUGGAUUGUCAGGUUGGUUAAUAACUGAAUUUUUAUUCAGUUCUGAACCCUGAAUGGCAGCAAGUUGCCCAGUUUGGAGCUCUAUGAUAAUUAAUCUACGGAGAUUUUGGUUAAGCGUUCUGUAGUAAAGUCAAAGUCCAUAUGAAGGGGAACAUGUCUCUUGAAGUGAGUGGGCCUGGUACUGUACAAGGUUGUGAGUGAAAUUGCUCCCAAACUUGCCUUGUCAGAAUUAGUGUAUGCCGUUUCAGACCUCUGAAACUGAAUUUUCAGUGUUUUUCUUUAGACUUUGGAGCUAGUUGAUGGUUGAUCCAAGGGGUAAAAGCUUAAGGGUUCUGUGGAGGAAUCGUAGAGGGUUGUUUGGUGGACAAGUUUUAUUUAACUUGCUCUCCCUGUUAUUACGAGAAAUUGAGAAGUUGAAGGGGGUUAACAGGGAGGUACGCAACAAGACAAUAGAGCUGAUGAGGCUGAUUCAGAAUUGGGUUCAGAUUCUGUUCAAGUAACUGAAGAAGAUCUGUCUUCCUUGUUGUGUUUAUAUUUGAGUGAAGGGGUAGAGAUAAGGAUUAAAUGCACAGCUUAGAAGUUUGGGGCUCACUCUGUACUGAAGAAUAUCCAGUUUUGGACUGUUUGAAGGCAGUGAACAGGGAGACUUUAUCUGUUAGCCUUGGAUGGAUUGAGCUAGGCAGCAAAGUAACUCUAGUGGCUACCCCAUUAGAAAUAUCAAGUCUUGGACAUCUUUGUGCUUAGCCACAAGUGGUGUUCUCAGCCACACGCCUGCCUGUCUGUGUUCACUGAAUAAGGUUGAUAUUUUGGGCUGUUAGAGCAUAUCCACAAGGGAUAUUUGUGUGCUAGCUGUCCAGAUUCAGUGUCUAUAUUGUGCCUGUCAGUUUGUGAGUAUUUGAUGCAUGAAAGCCACGUAUUGGAGCCCAGGUUGUGCUGGCAUCUCUGGGAACUCUUCACCUCCAUGCACUGCACAGGUUUAGUGACAUCUGUCCUUCAUCUGUGGCUAUAAAACUUGGUCCAGGGAAGUUUUCCUCCCUAUCCUCAAGCUCCAGCCAGGUUGCAGCGUGUGUGAGGGUGGUAAAUCUUCUGUCCACACCAGUGUUCACCUCUCCCCUUCCCAAGUUUGCCCAGUCCCUAGGUGGUGACCAUCGUCAGCAGUUAGUCCACCUCGCCGUGACCAGAACUCCCAGCACAAGGACUGAAGCUUCAAGCUGAAGUGGUGACUGAAGAGGAAUCUACUCCAGUGGCUGCUGAUCAAGUGGAGGAGCCAUCUAACUGGGUAGCUUGUAGAGGGAUCUAGACCUCUUCACUGCAACAAAGGCAAGCCCCGGUGCAUGCAACCCCUUCCUUGUGUUUUUAAAUAAUUUUUGCACACUUUAAGUCUAGUGAAAUGUGCAUUAGGUUUAUAGGAGUUGCUGGAAACCCUUUGAUGCAUUGCCUUCCUUGAUAUCCAUACCUUUAUAGAUACUUCUGGUGAAGUAUCAAAAUAUGAUUUUCAAAAAUGCUUAGCCCUGCUUAGAUCUUGUGGAUAGAGGUUGUCUUUUGCAAUACUGCCUAGCUCAGGGGUUAUCCUGAGGAAAGAUGACUUCUACCUGCAAGAAUAUUUUCAUUGAGAGCGUGGUGGGAUCUUACUGCAAAGUUCCCUUUGAUGCUCUUUUCAUCCUAGAAACAUAAACAAUCCUAAGGAUGAAAGUACUUAAAUCGGGACUUGGGCUAGGAACAGGUGAUGUUCUACCCAGGUUAGUUAAGGAUUGGAUGCAUAUGUAGGCCUGUUGAUCAAGGACUAUCUUAACUAGCCACAUGCCCUGGAAAUGGGACAGGGUAAGCUUGAACCCGGCUAUUCCAUACAUGAAAAGACAAUCGCGCACUGGGAGUGGAGAGAUGGCGAGAGUGGCACGUACCCUCCUGGCAAAGGAUCGCCUAAAAGGGGUGGUGUGCUCUCGGGUGGCGUGGACCUGUUCAUGUAGUGGAGGAUCCGUGGGAACGGUUGACAUAUGCAAGGGUUAAGUGCUACAUAUGUCGUGUGGUUAGAGAUCCUCGGCUGAGUAAAUCGAUUCGGAUCGCCGUUAUAUCCCCGGAGAGUGGAGACUUGAUCUCCGACCUACAACCUAAGUCAGGAUGUAAACAUUAUGAAUAAAAAUGAUGUUGUAUUGAUGAGAUGGUGAAAUUAGACCAGAUGCAAAUAGAGUCUAUUAAUAUUUAAUCUGGCGUUAAAAUAUUGAAAGUAAGGACUCACUUUAGUAAGCUAUUUCUGCAAAAGUAUCUAAGUUGAUUCUUGCUAAAGCCUCUCCUUGAUUCCCAAAUCCAGCAUAUCCUUGAGAGUCUUUUCUUUAGUCGGGUAAGUCUUGCUGAGUAAUUCCAUACUCAGGGUUUUAUUCCCUGUUGUUUUUCAGGUUAUAGUUUUGUGCUGAUGUUGAUGGUGUUAAGUGCCGGUGGGCUCGGCCUUCUUAUAUAAGUAUACCCCAUCUUUAUCUUCUUAUUGAGGAUGGUCACUUGAGCUAGCAUAUAUUUUAAACUUAUAAAUAAUUUAUAACAGUUUAAAGUUAUUUCUUUGAAUCACCUUUGUAAUCACCCCGGUCAUGUACAAUGUAAAAUUUUUGUAACCUGUAAAAUUUGGUACUAAGAUUUCCGCUGCAAAAAUGUUGUGUGUGUGAUUUGUGUUACUUAAUCCCGCGGUUCUGGUUGUAAGUGGUUUAUCCGAGGUCCUUGGGGCACUCAGACGGAUCCUGUUAAGUUAUUUGGUACACAUGCAUAGCCGUCUGAGGUCUUUGAGACAAGGACAGGUGCAUGUGGGCCCAAUAGCUUGGGAGGUUCUGCCACAGCUGGUAUCGGAGCUGGAUUAAGUAUAUACGGUCACAUACGUAUUUUUAAAACAAAAGUUUUGGUUUUGAAAAACCUAUUUUCAACUAAACACAUUGUUUGGCUUUGAAAAACAGUUUUGAAAAACUAUAAUGCUAGCGACAUCCUCUGUUAAGCCCUAAGUUAAGGACUAUAAGGUGGCUUAGUUUAGGAUGCUAACCACUAAUCCACAACUAUAAUGCAACUUUCUGCAGGUACACUAACUAAACCCUAGGAAAGUACGACUAGUGUUCAAUGACGGAGUGAGUAGGUAUGCCACCGUCAUAGAACGUGAUAGCCACUAUAUGUUGGCAAGAAUUAUGAGGACGAAUAGGACGAGCAUGCAUCAUGACAUACAAUUUUAAGUUAAACCCCCUAUGUAGUAGCUUAGUACAUGUUUCAUCCAUCUUAUUCAUGCUAUCUAUCUUUGCUUUUCUAUACUACCUUUUCCUAUUCGUGAAGCCUUGAGACUCAGUUCAUUUCGUGGACCUGUAGUUUAUAAGGUACAGUUGCCAAAGAAUUUGUCAACAGUGCACAACAUGUUCUACGUGUCCUAGUUAAAGAAAUGUUUUCGAGUCCUCAAGCAUGUUAUUGAGAUUGCAGAUGUUAACCUUGGACCAGAUUUAACCUACUUGGAAUAUCACAUAAAGGUGUUGGAUCUAAAGGAUCGGGUCACUCGAAGAAAAUUUAUCAAGUUUUGUAAGCUACAGUGGAACCAACACCCGGAAGAUAAACCAUAUGGGAACCAGAGGAGUAUUUAGAAAAACAUUUUCCUGAGUUCCUAGGUUCUCGUAAGUCCUAGGAUUUGUGUAGUUUGUCUUUGGUAUGAACCAAUAGGGGCACACCCCUGCUUUGUAGGAGUAAUGGGGAAAUAAGCCAGUGACGCAUUUCCUUUUCCAUUAUCUAGCCUAGAGUUUUAAAUCUCGGGACGAGAUUUCUUUUUAGGGGGGAAGGCUGUAACACCUCUGGUGUUACGUAAACUAAAACUCUGACAUGUCAUCAUAAGCAUCUGCAUUAAUGUGCUUGUUACACCUAGAAUGCAUUCACUAGGUUAAACUUUUUCAAAAGUGUGAUGUUGUGUGUUGGGUUUAGAGUUUAGUCUAAGGACUUGGCUUAAGCUAAACAGGGGUAGGUCAUCUCUUAAGCAAGUAACAAGUUGACUUGGAGUCUUAAAUGUUAAAGGUAAGUCUUAUAGCCUAGAGUAGACUUGUUUUGGAAUGAUGGUCAAGUGGAAGAAGCGCUUAAGAAGCUGGAAUAACUCCAAACCUUAACUUGAGCUUUGCUUGGAAUAGAUGGUUAAGUAAAGGAAAUUCUAAACCAGAACAUUUUGGAUAUGAGCUAUGUGUAUCAAAGAUUGGAUCUUAGACUAGAGAGUAACCUUGUUUCUGAUGGAUGGAUCAAAGGGAUGAAUCCUUGGAAGAAGCUGAAAUACAAAUGAAACUCAUUUGAAAUCCUAAAACUAGCCCAAAAGAGGAAUUCUAAAAUCUGGAAAUAAUUUGACAAAAGUCCAUAUAUCAAAGUUGUGGAGCUUGGAAAAGUGGAUAUGUUUCUUAUUUGGAGAUUCCUAAGUUGUGUGGAAGAAUUUGGAGUUAAGUACAAAAAUUCAGUUUUGGGUUCAUUUUAGAAUUGCUGAAAAUAAUAUAAACUAGACAACUUUGGACUCUUGUAACUUCUGAUCUAGAACCAUUUUGAAGAUGAUCAUUAUAACAAAGUUAUAGAGCUACAUGAGGAGUUUAAGUUUGGUUAAGUCAUAUAGCUCUAAAACUAUAUGGAACUUUGAGUAAAACUGGUCCAAAUAAAGCUGUCAAAAAUUGUGGAUUUCAGACUUAGUGAAAUUCAGAUUCUGAAUUUCAGCAAUUGGAGCAAACUUUGGGCUAUUGUAGUUUGGAAUUUAAGAGGUUUUGGUUAAUGGUCACUAUAUCAAACUUGUAGAGGAACUAGAGGAGUAUAAACUUUAUUAAGAAACUUGACCCUAAAAACAUUUGGAACCUAGAAAAAAGAGUGGUUCCAAGUGGUGCUGCUUUACUUCUGAAUUUUCAGAUUGAAAACAGUAACUGAAACUGAGUUUCAGUGUUUUGAUAGCAGUUUUGAAGCCUAUUUGUGGCUACUCUAUAAGGUUUUGUGUUAUGGUGUUUGUAAAAUAAGUGAAGACCAUAUAAUGUGGAACAACUUUCUUAUAGGGUGGUGGACCUGAUCCCAUACAAAAAGUGCAGAAAUAGUUGCUCAAAGAUUGGAUUGUCAGGUUGGUUAAUAACUGAAUUUUUAUUCAGUUCUGAACCCUGAAUGGCAGCAAGUUGCCCAGUUUGGAGCUCUAUGAUAAUUAAUCUACGGAGAUUUUGGUUAAGCGUUUUGUAGUAAAGUCAAAGUCCAUAUGAAGGGGAACAUGUCUCUUGAAGUGAGUGGGCCUGGUACUGUACAAGGUUGUGAGUAAAAUUGCUCCCAAACUUGCCCUGUCAGAAUUAGUGUAUGCCGUUUCAGACCUCUAAAACUGAAUUUUCAGUGUUUUUCUUUAGACUUUGGAGCUAGUUGAUGGUUGAUCCAAGGGGUAAAAGCUUAAGGGUUCUGUGGAGGAAUCAUAGAGGGUUGUUUGGUGGACAAGUUUUAUUUAACUUGCUCUCCCUGUUAUUACGAGAAAUUGAGAAGUUGAAGGGGGUUAACAGGGAGGUACGCAACAAGACAAUAGAGCUGAUGAGGCUGAUUCAGAAUUGGGUUCAGAUUCUGUUCAAGUAACUGAAGAAGAUCUGUCUUCCUUGUUGUGUUUAUAUUUGAGUGAAGGGGUAGAGAUAAGGAUUAAAUGCAUAGCUUAGAAGUUUGGGGCUCACUCUGUACUGAAAUAUCCAGUUUUGGACUGUUUGAAGGCAGUGAACAGGGAGACUUUAUCUGUUAGCCUUGGAUGGAUUGAGCUGGGCAGCAAAGUAACUCUAGUGGCUACCCCAUUAGAAAUAUCAAGUCUUGGACAUCUUUGUGCUUAGCCACAAGUGGUGUUCUCAGCCACACGCCUGCCUGUCUGUGUUCACUGAAUAAGGUUGAUAUUUUGGGCUGUUAGAGCAUAUCCACAAGGGAUAUUUGUGUGCUAGCUGUCCAGAUUCAGUGUCUAUAUUGUGCCUGUCAGUUUGUGAGUAUUUGAUGCAUGAAAGCCACGUAUUGGAGCCCAGGUUGUGCUGGCAUCUCUGGGAACUCUUCACCUCCAUGCACUGCACAGGUUUAGUGACAUCUGUCCUUCAUCUGUGGCUAUAAAACUUGGUCCAGGGAAGUUUUCCUCCCUAUCCUCAAGCUCCAGCCAGGUUGCAGCGUGUGUGAGGGUGGUAAAUCUUCUGUCCACACCAGUGUUCACCUCUCCCCUUCCCAAGUUUGCCCAGUCCCUAGGUGGUGACCAUCGUCAGUAGUUAGUCCACCUCGCCGUGACCAGGUAACUUUCAAAGUUUCCUUAGCCGAGCUAUACAUGUUUUGUGCUCUACAUCAGAUAGUGAAGCUCAUAUGAUGAUGAACAAAUCUCCUUAAGACAGUCUUGUUGGAUGCUAUAUGAAAAUUGGAGUAACAGCUGCUCAAAUCUAGACUGUCUGGCGGCUGAAACUGAAUUGUAUUCAGUCCACUGUGAACUGAAAUUCAGCACAAGGGUGUCUAGUUUGGAGCCCUAUGGUAAUUAGUGCAAGGCAAUUUGGGUUAGGAAUUCUUUAGCAAACUGAAAGGACAUAUAUAGGAGAACAAAUUCCCUAAAGAGGGUUGGACUUGGUGCUACACAAAAAGAGGAGUUAAAGUGGCUCCAAGUUGUGCUGUCCGACUGGAGAUAUGUAAAUUUAGUUAACUGUUGCUGGCAGUUUGAGUUAGUUUUUACCCAACUUUGGAGCCUUGUGGUAAUUACUCCAAGGGGAAAUGGGUUAGGGAUUCCACAUCCAGAUAAAAGACCACAUCAAGGACAACAAGUUUCAUUCAAGGAAUGGGCUUGCUACUGUAUAAGUUGGCAGUAAAAAGGUGUCCCAAACUUCUCUGCCAGAGUGGGUGCAGUGCUGUUUCAGUUCACUGAAACUGAACUUUUUUGUGAUUUUGCUCUAUUUUGUGGCAUCAUAACUUUUGAUUAGUAUGGUUUCAGUCUGAGGAUGCUAUGCCAAAGUAGUAGAGCUAUGUCUAGAGAAUAACUUGGAGUAAAUGAGUUGUGUUUGUUGUUGAGGGAAUUUGUGAGUUACAAAGCACUGAACAGAGAGAGAGGAAUGGAGCACUAAAAGAUGAAUUCAGAGAACUGAAAAUAGGUUCAAUGAAUUGUGGCUGAUUCUUGGACACUAUAAAUUGUAGUACAUGCAGUUUGGAUCCUUGCUUAAUGCAUAAAUAAAGUACUUGAUUGGUUAUGGAGGCAAGGUUUCCUAGUUUGGUUGGUGAAUUGAGUUGUGAUAUUAGAGUAUUUAGCUCUCUUAAGGUUUUGUUAGUUUUUGUAUGCACCUUUAGAGAGGUGUAAGUCCUGUGAUGCUUCUUAGUAUUUUCUUUUCAAGUUGCAUAAGCAUAAACAUCCAUGAUCAUGUUAUUUCAUAUAGAACUCCCAGCACAAGGACUGAAGAUUCAAGCUGAAGUGGUGACUGAAGAGGAAUCUACUCCAGUGGCUGCUGAUCAAGUGGAGGAGCCAUCUAACUGGGUAGCUUGUAGAGGGAUCUAGACCUCUUCACUGCAACAAAGGCAAGCCCCGGUGCAUGCAACCCCUUCCUUGUGUUUUUAAAUAAUUUUUGCACACUUUAAGUCUAGUGAAAUGUGCAUUAGGUUUAUAGGAGUUGCUUGAAACCCUUUGAUGCAUUGCCUUCCUUGAUAUCCAUACCUUUAUAGAUACUUCUGGUGAAGUAUCAAAAUAUGAUUUUCAAAAAUGCUUAGCCCUGCUUAGAUCUUGUGGAUAGAGGUUGUCUUUUGCAAUACUGCCUAGCUCAGGGGUUAUCCUGAGGAAAGAUGACUUCUACCUGCAAGAAUAUUUUCAUUGAGAGCGUGGUGGGAUCUUACUACAAAGUUCCCUUUGAUGCUCUUUUCAUCCUAGGAACAUAAACAAUCCUAAGGAUGAAAGUACUUAAAUCGGGACUUGGGCUAGGAAUAGGUGAUGUUCUACCCAGGUUAGCUAAGGAUUGGAUGCGUAUGUAGGCCUGUUGAUCAAGGACUAUCUUAACUAGCCACAUGCCCUGGAAAUGGGACAGGGUAAGCUUGAACCCGGCUAUUCCAUACAUGAAAAGACAAUCGCGCACUGGGAGUGGAGAGAUGGCGAGAGUGGCACGUACCCUCCUGGCAAAGGAUCGCCUAAAAGGGGUGGUGUGCUCUCGGGUGGCGUGGACCUGUUCAUGUAGUGGAGGAUCCGUGGGAACGGUUGACAUAUGCAAGGGUUAAGUGCUACAUAUGUCGUGUGGUUAGAGAUCCUCAGCUGAGUAAAUCGAUUCGGAUCGCCGUUAUAUCCCCGGAGAGUGGAGACUUGAUCUCCGACCUACAACCUAAGUCAGGAUGUAAACAUUAUGAAUAAAAAUGAUGUUGUAUUGAUGAGAUGGUGAAAUUAGACCAGAUGCAAAUAGAGUCUAUUAAUAUUUAAUCUGGCGUUAAAAUAUUGAAAGUAAGGACUCACUUUAGUAAGCUAUUUCUGCAAAAGUAUCUAAGUUGAUUCUUGCUAAAGCCUCUCCUUGAUUCCCAAAUCCAGCAUAUCCUUGAGAGUCUUUUCUUUAGUCGGGUAAGUCUUGCUGAGUAAUUCCAUACUCAGGGUUUUAUUCCCUGUUGUUUUUCAGGUUAUAGUUUUGUGCUGCUGUUGAUGGUGUUAAGUGCCGGUGGGCUCGGCCUUCUUAUAUAAGUAUACCCCAUCUUUAUCUUCUUAUUGAGGAUGGUCACUUGAGCUAGCAUAUAUUUUAAACUUAUAAAUAAUUUAUAACAGUUUAAAGUUAUUUCUUUGAAUCACCUUUGUAAUCACCCCGGUCAUGUACAAUGUAAAAUUUUUGUAACCUGUAAAAUUUGGUACUAAGAUUUCCGCUGCAAAAAUGUUGUGUGUGUGAUUUGUGUUA